rnacentral:lncRNA from 1 species
AGGAGAGGAGUCGAGACCAGUAGUUUCCAAAAUCAGGGACUGACCUGAGUGCCCCACUCAGGAAGAGAUUUUGCAGAACUUCGGUGCAAUUUUCACUUCUGCUUUGCGGUGAGGAAAAUAGGAGAAGUGCAGAAGCAACGACGCCUCCACCACUUCUGGCGUGGGGGAAACGAAGUGGGGAGCCUGACUUUAAAAGGGGGGGGCUUAGGAUUCUGUUUCACCACUUGGCUUGAGCGGAAUCUGGAUGCCUCCACUCCCCUAGAAAUGAGGAGGCAGGAAGAGAGGAGGGGAUCAAUGGGGAGGAGGUUGGGGGGGACGUCAGCAACACUAUGGGGCUGGGAAGUGGGGAGGGGGAGGUUGGAAAGAGAGAUUAAGCAGGUUAUAUGACUUGGAGGGGCGACCUAUUGGGGGGGCCUGAGGGGCCGCAAUCGGGCUAGGAUGUGGGGCAGGGAAGGGAGGGUUUUUUAAUCAGGGACGUUGGGGAGGGGGAGGGAAGAGAAGCGAAUGGAGGCGAAAGAGAAAGAACGGCCCCCAGAUUGGGGUGCGCCGUGGAAGGGGGGUGGGAAGAGAGAGGGCGAGCAAGCGGCGGUUAAACCGCUGCUUGUGAGGAGGUCGAGGAGGGACGGGGUUUACCUCAGGCGGCGGGAGGAGGAGGAGAGGAAGAAUUUUCAGUGAAGCUUGAAAUACCAAGAUAAAGUUGCAUAAUCAGCACCGCAUAAUGGGAGCAAGGUGUACUUUAAAAAAAAAAAUCUUUCCCACCCACCCUGACUGCACAGCUGCUAAAUCUUGUUACUAUUUUAAAGGAUUUUGAGUAGGUGGAUGGAGUCCCGAGGGAAGGAGGAAGUAUGUGCUGGCACUAGAGAAAAAGAUGAAAUAUUAAGUUGAAGCUCUGAGAAAGGAGUAAAGCUAAAUGCGGUUUCUGCUGGAAAGUUUAGUGCUGUUUUGCUUUGUUUAAUUACAAGCCAAUGUCAACAAUCAUAUUCAGUAUGGGGAUAUGAAUAAUGUUGUUCUACCUGUCAGCUUAGUAUAAAUAAAGGAUUACUGAAUUGUCUCUUGCUCUGGGGG